GCAAACUUGGUCAUUUAGAGGAAGUAAAAGUCGUAACAAGGUUUUCGUAGGUGAACCUGCGGAAGGAUCAUUAGUGAAUUUGGGAUGACCUCUGCAAAGGGGAACACUCCUUUAAUACACUUUCACAAACCCUUUGUGCACUUUUGUCUUUUUUUGCCGCAAGGCAAUAGGACUUUUUUUUACAAACACUUUGGUGUUCAUUUAAUAAAAGUUGUUGAUGUGACAAUGUGAUAAACGAAAGUAAAACUUUCAGCAAUGGAUCUCUUGGCUCUCGCAUCGAUGAAGAACGCAGC
rnacentral:misc_RNA from 1 species